AUGAAUUAUGCUUAUGGAGAUGAACUUGCUAUAGUUCCUUAUGUUAAACAUGAAAUUGUUGCUAUUGCACCCACGCAUGACAGACCUAUUAUCUUUUUGAAUUCUCCCGACUACACUAUAUCGGAGAAGUAUGCACUUAUUAAGGAUUAUAUUGAUGGGUUGCCUUUUACCGUUGCACAUGAUGAUUUUGAUGAAUAUAAUAUGCAUGUGAUUGCUGCUCCUACUUGCAAUUAUUAUGAGAGAGGAACUAUAUCUCCACCUCUCUAUGUUUCCAAUAUGAUAAAAUUGCAAGAAACUGUUUAUACUAUGCAUUGGCCUUUACUUUGUGUGCAUGAAUUGUUCUUUUAUGAUACGUCGAUGCAUAGGAAGAGAGUUAGACUUCUUCAUUACAUGAUAUAUGUUACCUUGUGCUCACCACUAAAUUACAAAUCAUUGUUAAUUAAAAUUGGCUUUGAUAUACCUUGGGAUCCGGGUGGAUCCAUUACUUGA
rnacentral:rRNA from 1 species